rnacentral:rRNA from 1 species
GAUGAACGCUGGCGGCGUGCCUAAUACAUGCAAGUCGAGCGAAUGGAUUAAGAGCUUGCUCUUAUGAAGUUAGCGGCGGACGGGUGAGUAACACGUGGGUAACCUGCCCAUAAGACUGGGAUAACUCCGGGAAACCGGGGCUAAUACCGGAUAACAUUUUGAACCGCAUGGUUCGAAAUUGAAAGGCGACUUCGGCUGUCACUUAUGGAUGGACCCGCGUCGCAUUAGCUAGUUGGUGAGGUAACGGCUCACCAAGGCAACGAUGCGUAGCCGACCUGAGAGGGUGAUCGGCCACACUGGGACGGAGACACGGCCCAGACUCCUACGGGAGACAGCAGUAGGGAAUCUUCCGCAAUGGACGAAAGUCUGACGGAGCAACGCCGCGUGAGUGAUGAAGGCUUUCGGGUCGUAAAACUCUGUUGUUAGGGAAGAACAAGUGCUAGUUGAAUAAGCUGGCACCUUGACGGUACCUAACCAGAAAGCCACGGCUAACUACGUGCCAGCCGCCGCCGUAA